rnacentral:tRNA from 1 species
GGCGGCGUAGCUCAGCUGGUUAGAGCGUCGGAAUCAUAAUCCGCAGGUCCGGGGUCCGAAUCCCUGCGCCGCUACCA